CAGUCGCCACGGUAAAACGGAGGAUCCAAGCGUUAUCCGGAAUCAUUGGGUUUAAAGGGUCCGUAGGCGGUCUUGUAAGUCAGUGGUGAAAGCCCAUCGCUCAACGGUGGAACGGCCAUUGAUACUGCAGGACUUGAAUUAUUGGGAAGUAACUAGAAUAUGUAGUGUAGCGGUGAAAUGCUUAGAGAUUACAUGGAAUACCAAUUGCGAAGGCAGGUUACUACCAAUUGAUUGACGCUGAUGGACGAAAGCGUGGGUAGCGAACAGGAUUAGAUACCCGCGUAGUCCCUGUCUCUUAUAC
rnacentral:rRNA from 1 species